rnacentral:rRNA from 1 species
AGUGAACGCUGGCGGUAGGCCUAACACAUGCAAGUCGAACGGCAGCACAGUAAGAGCUUGCUCUUACGGGUGGCGAGUGGCGGACGGGUGAGGAAUACAUCGGAAUCUACUUUUUCGUGGGGGAUAACGUAGGGAAACUUACGCUAAUACCGCAUACGACCUACGGGUGAAAGCAGGAGAUCUUCGGACCUUGCGCGAUUGAAUGAGCCGAUGUCGGAUUAGCUAGUUGGCGGGGUAAAGGCCCACCAAGGCGACGAUCCGUAGCUGGUCUGAGAGGAUGAUCAGCCACACUGGAACUGAGACACGGUCCAGACUCCUACGGGAGGCAGCAGUGGGGAAUAUUGGACAAUGGGCGCAAGCCUGAUCCAGCCAUACCGCGUGAGUGAAGAAGGCCUUCGGGUUGUAAAGCCCUUUUGUUGGGAAAGAAAAGCAGCAGGUUAAUACCCCGCUGUUCUGACGGUACCCAAAGAAUAAGCACCGGCUAACUUCGUG